UCUUCUUUUAUCUCCUGUUUCUCCUCUUCUUCUCGUUUCUUUUUCUUUCCUACUUUGUUGUCGUUCGAGAGAUGAAAUUUAGGAUUUAAGUUGUUUGACUGAUGCAAUAACUAGAUGAAUCAAAGACGGGGUCGUUGUUGGAGUUGUUUAAGUUCUGGAAGAAGGAUUGAGAAUAAGAAGUUAGGGUUUCAUGAAGAUAAGAUUGAUUAAAGGUUUUUGUAGAACUGAAUAUGAAAUAGAUCAAUUGGAGAUGGGUUUUCAUUGUUGUUAGCAAAUAAGGGAAAUUAGAGUUCGAUUCUCAAAUCGCAGUGAAGGAUUAAGAAAUUAGGGUUUCUGUAAUUUCUAUUGGAAUUCGAUUUGAUAAAGGAUUAAGAAGAUUUAGACGGAUUGAAUUACAGGAUGGGUUUGAUAGUUUUGAAGAGUUAGUUUGAAGUUUGAGUUUGAAUUAAGGUUCAGUUUAGAAUUGAUGGUGAUGUUGGAAAUGUUUUGUGCUGGAUAAAUUGAGGUUGUGGAUGUUGUUUUGAAGUUGUUAAUGAAAUUAGGGUUGAGCUUCUGAAUUCGGGAUUUUGUUCAGAGUUUUAGAGAAUAACACCAUGGAUGGUGUUGAGGAAAUAUUAAGAAUGGAUUGAGUUGAAUUGUGGAGUCUUGGAUGUUCUUUGAGAUGUGUUGGUGAAUCAAAAUCAAGGUGAGAAGCGGAAUCUGAUUAAGUUGCUUGAGGAAAUUUACUUUGAGGUAAUUGUUUCUCUGAGUUAUUUAGUAAAGUUACUCAGUUCAUUGUUAAAUAUAUUUGCUAAGGAAUGGAUGUACAUUUGAGAUAGUUUUGGACAGUAGAGAUUGGUGUUGUAGAUGAAUGUUGAUGGUGCUAACUGUAUGGAUUUCAGUUCAUGAGAUUAGUAUUAAUAUUGUUGAAUUGGUGGUGGUUUUGUUAGGUACACUUGAUAGUGCUAAAGUGAACUGAAUUGAAUAUAGAUAAUGGGUUGGUUAAUGUUGUGGAAAGAAACUGAAUGUGCAGAGAGUAUAAGAUGGUUGUGUAUGAAUUCUGAAGAUGACUGCAGAGAGUAUAAUGGAUUGAACUACUAGACUUCUGAUCCAAGAAGCAUAGUACAGGGUUUUUGAGGGAGCCUUAUAAUAAUUAGUAUCACUGAAUGGGAUGUUGUGACUGAAGUAUUAGAAAGUGAAGUAGAUGAAUGUGUUCAGUUGGACGACCUCUCUAGUGAAAGCUUAAAGUUGGAAUUAAAGUUAGUCUAUAUUAACAAUGAUCGAUUCAAAGGAUGAACCAGUGGACCGUGGAUCUCGAGGUAGGCGUGGCUUGUCAUCAAAAGAGGUGGGAAUACAUUUAACUCUUUUGUGACCAUUGCUGUUUUCUUUUACAAAAGUUUGCAUUUAUCAAAUUCAUGCAUCGUUUGGUUACGCUUUCCAUGCAUUUUUUUAUUUAAAUUCCUUAUUUUUGUUCAUUUAAUCUUUCCGAUUGUUUCUUUUAUUUUCCGGAAGUUCUGUUAAUUCGUCUAAUCUUUCCAUGGUUUGGAAAUGACAUGUAAUGUUUAGCUUGUCAUUAUGAAUUGUUGGGAAAUAAGAAUUUCCUUAUUUGGUAUAUAAGAUACGUUCCUUCAUUUAUAGUUUCAUGCACGUCUUGGUGUGUAAUUGUCAACAAGGUUAUCUAGGUGUGUAAUUGUCACCAAUAUUACGGGUGUGUACAUUCACCCAGAGAUUAUCUAGGUGUGUAAUUGUCACCAGUAUUACAGUGUGUAAAUGGCACCACAUAAAUAAUGGUUGGUGUGUAAUUGUCACCAAUACGGUGUGUAAAUGUCACCACAAAAAUAAUGGUUGGUGUCUAAUUGUCACCAAUCCGGUGUGUAAAUGUCACCACAGAGAUAAAUAAGGAGUUAGUUCCAUAUAAUGUUUAGUUCUUUUAAUAUUUGGGAAAACAUGGAUUGUUAUCCAAAUCAUGUCGAUGUUUACUUAAAAAUUAUAUGUUAUUUCCAUUGGGCACCCCUUUUAGGGAUGAUUUGCUCACUCGUUCCCACUUCAGUUUUUCCGUUAUCAAAAGAAUCGGUGCGCAUGAAGAUAUCUGUUUUUGUAGCUUAACGUUUGGGCGAAUCGAAGAUGUUUGUUUAUCGUCUCUAUUUGUAUUGUUUGUCAAUUUGUUAAACAACACAUUAUUGUAUUCUUAUCACUUGAGAGAUUUUCAUUUAUGUAAUAUCAAAAUGGGUUAGUUUUGGGUUAA